UGUUCGUGGAACUUCAAAAAGGUACGUUUUCUUCUAUUUAUUUUAAACGGAUAAGGGUAGGGGUGUUCAUAAACUCUUAAAAUCGAUCAAACAACCCAAAUCGUGUUUAAUUUCACUCACAAAAGUCCUUAAAAGUUAAUUUUUUUUUGUUUAAAAGGUUGGAAAAUUGUUUAAAAAAUUACAGGCUUGCAAAACAUAAUAACUUUGACUACGUUGACUUUUUUUGACUUACGCCAAUGGGUGCAAACAAACAUGGUUACCUUAGAACAAUCUCUAGACCAAAAUAUGUUAUCCUUUAUGCAGUACCCAUUAUACAGUUUUAUCUUUUAAGCUUGUGGUGUUGGUUGCUACGGUUUACUAACAUAUGAUAUAAUGCAGACCCUUUGGUCGCUUGGGUAUGGAUGAUAUUGUCACAACUGUAGUUGGUAGAGCUGAGCCACAUAAUCAGGCGCUGCUUCAUCCUAACCAAGAUAGAGUGUUGACCAUUCCAUGAAAAUGCACGUUUACAAGGACUUCCUGAUCAUUAUAAACUUUGUGGACCUGUUAAAG
rnacentral:lncRNA from 1 species